ensembl:lncRNA
CUGGCUUCCCGUUUGCACUGAGGCAUUGACUUUCCAUCUUCUGCUGCGGUGCCAAAUUCCCCAAUGGGAUGGCAUCCAUGUGUUCUUAAGUCUGUCCGGUGCCACGCCACCCCCAACAGGCUCAGGCUAGGGGGAGCAGAAAGAUGGAGCAGAAAAAGAUUAUUGAAGAUUGAAGACAAAACUUUUGGUCUAAAGAAUCAGAAAGGAGGAGCAAAGCAAAAGAACUUUAUCAAGGCCUUCGGUCAAGUUAAAUUAAAAUCUACGUCAGGUAGUACAAUGUGAAGCUGAAGAGAAACUGAAGAAAGAUGAUAGCAGGAGUUAAACGAGCUGUUCAAACCUGUAGUUGCUGCUCAGAAAAUAAGUAAAGUUGCAGAUCCCAAAUCCGUGGUUUGUGGCUUCUUCAAGCAAGGACUGUACUGAAGGAGAAUCAACAGGAUGUCAUUUCCCAAGCUGAUUCUGGAGGGCUUACUCUCCUCUACAAAAGGAAUAUUCUCCCUAUGUCUUCUCUUCUGACUUCUGACAUCUUGCAGAGAGACCUAAGAUUAAGGAAUUUGCCCACAGCUGCACAAAUAGGAAGGGGAGAAGCAUGAAAAUGAACUAGAUCUGUCUGCUACCGAAGCUUGUGUCCUAUCACCCACACUUGGAUGCCAUGCCUAGGAGUUUGGAGUCAGUCUUUCUCCUUUUGAUCAACACCUUGCUUGUGAUUUUGUUAGUACUAUUUUAUGCCAUCCAUGACUCAUCUUCCAGAGGUCGAGAAAGGGGCUUCCAAUAACAGCGAAGAGCAAAAAGAC